rnacentral:rRNA from 1 species
GAUCCUGGCUCAGAAUGAACGCUAAUAGUAUGCUUUACACAUGCAAGUCUAACGAAUUUUUCGUGGCAAACGGGUGAGGAAUAAAUAGAUUUUAACCUUUUGGAAAAAAAUAAAACAUAAUCUUUUUUAUCUAUAAUUUUGACUAAAAAUAUUUUAUUAUUUGUGUUAAUGUUUUAUAAAAAUUACUAAAAAUAUUGAUAGAUAUAAUUAUUUAUAUCUGUAUUAAUGUGCCAAAAGAUGAAUCUGUUUAAGAUUAGGUUGUUGGUAGAAAAGACUACCAAGCCGUUGAUCUUUAGUUGAUUUGAGAGAAUGAUCAACCACACUGGAACUGAGACAAGGUCCAGGCUAAUGUUUUGGCCAGCAGUGAGGAAUAUUGGACAAUGAACGAAAGUUUGAUCCAGCAAUACUAUAUGAAUGAUGAAAGCUAAUUUGGUUGUAAAGUUCUUUCAAUUAAUUAUGAUAAUGACAUAAAUUAAAGAAGAAGUCCCGGCAAAUCUCGUGCCAGCAGCCGCGGUAAUACGGGAGGGGCAAGCGUUAUUCGAAAUGAUUGGGCGUAAAGAGUCCGUAGAUUGUAAAAUAAGUUAUUUGUUAAAUCAUAAGGAUUAACCUUGUAAAAACAUUUAAAACUGUUUUACUAGAGUUUUUUUCAGAAAAGUAGAAUUUCAUAUGAAAGGAUAAACCCUGUAGAUAUAUGAAGGAAUAUCAAAAGCGAAAGCAACUUUUUGGUAAAAACUGACGUUGAGGGACGAAAGUAUAGGUAGCAAACAGGAUUAGAUACCCUGGUAGUCUAUACUGUAAAUCAUGAGUGUUGUAAUUUAAAAUAUAAGUAAAAAAUUUUAGAUUUUUUAAGCUAACGCUAUAAACACUCCGCCUGAGGAGUACGAUCGCAAGAUUAAAACUCAAAGGAAUUGACGGGGGCCUACAACAAGUGGUGGAGCAUGUGGUUUAAU